GGCUGCUCAGAGGAGGCGGAGGGAACCAUUUAACACCGUGAAGAUAUGAGGGAUUAUAGCUUGGGUGAUGGACACUAAAUCAAACCAAAUACGAUUUUAUCCAAAGCGAUUUACAAGUGAGAGACAUCACUAAAGCUCCAGUGCAGUGGGAGACCUUGUCUGGACCACUCCUCUUCAUUCCUGGAUCUCUCCUUCCUGGCCGCUCUCUGUUUCUCCUCCAGUCUCUCCUUCUCCCUACUGGCCUCAUCUGCACAAAAACAACCACGUCACAACCUCUGCAGAUUGUAGCAUUUAGCGUUUAGCGUUUAGCUUGUGGAUCAAGUUAAAGAGAUUCCUCCAAGAAAACAAUUUUUUCACUUCAGGUUAAUAAAGUUGUAAACACUUGGAUCAGAUCAACACAAGGCAGUGACACAAACGUCCAGCAGGUGGCAGCAUCGUCUUAGUAUUAAUAUUCUCAUUUGGAGUCAUUUU